rnacentral:rRNA from 1 species
GUGGGGAAUAUUGGACAAUGGGCGAAAGCCUGAUCCAGCAAUGCCGCGUGAGUGAUGAAGGCCCUAGGGUUGUAAAGCUCUUUUACCAGGGAUGAUAAUGACAGUACCUGGAGAAUAAGCUCCGGCUAACUCCGUGCCAGCAGCCGCGGUAAUACGGAGGGAGCUAGCGUUGUUCGGAAUUACUGGGCGUAAAGCGCGCGUAGGCGGUUUUUUAAGUCAGAGUUGAAAGCCCGGGGCUCAACCCCGGAAUUGCCUUUGAAACUGGAAAACUUGAAUCUUGGAGAGGUCAGUGGAAUUCCGAGUGUAGAGGUGAAAUUCGUAGAUAUUCGGAAGAACACCAGUGGCGAAGGCGACUGACUGGACAAGUAUUGACGCUGAGGUGCGAAAGCGUGGGGAGCAAACAGGAUUAGAAACCCCAGUAGUCC